UACGGAGGGGGCUAGCGUUGCUCGGAAUCACUGGGCGUAAAGCGCACGUAGGCGGAUAUUUAAGUCGGUGGUGAAAUCCUGGAGCUCAACUCCAGAACUGCCUCCGAUACUGAAUGUCUCCGAGUCCGGGAGAGGUGAGUGGAACUGCGAGUGUAGAGGUGAAAUUCGUAGAUAUUCGCAAGAACACCAGUGGCGAAGGCGGCUCACUGGCCCGGUACUGACGCUGAGGUGCGAAAGCGUGGGGAGCAAACAGG
rnacentral:rRNA from 1 species